rnacentral:rRNA from 1 species
GACGAACCGUGCAAACGUUAUUCGGAAUCACUGGGCUUAAAGCGCGUGUAGGCGAUGGGACCGUCGGAACCUGAAAGCCCCCGGCUCAACCGGGGAAGUGGGGCCGAAACGACCCGUCUGGAGGGACGUAGGGGGAUCUGGAACUUCCGGUGGAGCGGUGAAAUGCGUUGAGAUCGGAAGGAACGCCCGUGGCGAAAGCGAGAUCCUGGACGUUUUCUGACGCUGAGACGCGAAAGCUAGGGGAGCAAACGGG